rnacentral:rRNA from 1 species
AACGAACGCUGGCGGCGUGGAUAAGACAUGCAAGUCGAACGCUAAUACAAAGGUAGCAAUAUCGUUGUGUUGGAGUGGCGAAAGGGUGAUUAACACGUGGGCAAGUUACCGCGAGAUCUGGGAUAACCUGCUGAAAGGCAGGCUAAUACUGGAUAACACCUUGGAUCGGCAUCGAUUCAAGUUUAAAGCUGGGGACCCGCAAGGGCCUGGCGACUCGCGAUACGCCCGCGUCCUAUCAGCUAGUUGGCGGGGUAAAAGCCCACCAAGGCUAAGACGGGUAGCUGGUCUAAGAGGACGACCAGCCACACUGGAACUGAGACACGGUCCAGACACCUACGGGUGGCAGCAGUCGAGAAUUUUUCACAAUGGGCGAAAGCCUGAUGGAGCGACGCCGCGUGGGGGGAUGAAUGGCUUCGGCCCGUAAACCCCUGUCAUUUGCGAACAAACCUGGUGGUUGAACAAACUACCAGCUGAUAGUAGCAGAAGGAGGAAGGGACGGCUAACU